GACAGAGGUGCCGAGCGUUAGGCGGAAUCACUGGGCUUAAAGCGUGUGUAGGCGGACUUCUAAGUACCUUGUGAAAUCCCACGGCUCAACCGUGGAACUGCUUGGUAUACUGGUUGUCUUGAGCCACUUAGGGGCAGUCGGAACAGACGGUGGAGCGGUGAAAUGCGUAGAUAUCAGGAGGAACACCGGUGGCGAAGGCGGGUCUCUGGGCCGAUACUGACACUGAGGAGCGAAAGCGUGGGGAGCGAACAGG
rnacentral:rRNA from 1 species